CUUUCCUGUGGCUCAGUUGGUAGAGAAUUGUGCAGACACUGCAAAGGUCGUGGGUUUGAAUCCCAGGGAAACA